ensembl:snRNA U6 U6 spliceosomal RNA
GCGCUCAUUUGGAAGCACAUAUACUAAAAGUGGAACAGCACAAAGAUUAGCGUGGCCCCUGUGCAAGGGUGACAUGCAAAUUCUUGAAGCAGUCCAUAUUUUU